GCAUUUGAUUUUGAAUUUAAAUUAUUGAUUUCUAUUUCUGUUUUUGAUUUUUGAUAUUGGAAAGAGAAGGGAUUGAACAGCCGUGAUGUUGGGAGCUUUAAGGAGAAAAGUUCCGAUUGGAGCUCAUCGGCUUCGGUAUUAGGGAAGUCAUUGCAAGCAAUUCGACCGGGUAUUUCAGCAUCUAGAGCAUCUGCCAAUGCUGGAAAAGAGAUUCUAUUUCUUUAGCCUAGAGGAAUUGACCAUGUCCGUGACUUCUCUCAUUUCAUUCUCCCGGGUUGUUCUGUUGGUUUAACAAAGAUCAGGUUAGUUUGUUCUAAACUUUCUAAUGUACAUAAAUGGUAGAAACUCUACCUUUUGGCAUUUAUC